CCAAUGUGUUGUGGGAGGGACUCAGUGGGAGGUAAUUGAAUCAUGGAGGUGGCUAUCCCCAUGCUGCUGUUCUCAUGAUAGUGAGUGAGUUCUCACAAGAUCUGAUAGUUUUAUAAGAGGCUAUUUUCCCUUUGCUUGGCACUUCUCCUUCCUGCCAUCAUGUGAAGAAGGAUCUGUUUUCUCCCUUCCGGCAUGAUUGUAAGUUUCCUAAGGCCACCCCAGCCAUGCAGAACUGUGAGUCAAUUCAACCUCUUUCCUUUAUAAAUUACCCACUCUUGUGCAGUUCUUUAUGGCAGCAUGAGAAUGGACUAAUACAAGAGGUAACAACCUUUUCCUGCAUUGGCUGAUUUUUAAUUUCAGUCUGUUCAAAACAAUCAAUAUGCCAAAGUUGUAUACUUUGGAGUGACAUGUCCUGAACUCCCACAGAGAUUAUGUCAUAAGAAAGGGGCAGAAGAAGCAUCACCAACUCUAAGGAACCAAAGUCUCUCCAGCCACCAAAAUGAAUGCAGCUGCCACUUAGGGGAAGUGGACAAGGACAGAACCACCCAGAGAUGAUGGUGAGAAAAGGCAGAAGGCCUGGGAGCUGGAAAAUGACUCCAUGGAGUAAAAGAUCACAGCAUCCUUUGGGACAAGACCGAUGUUCAUGACAAGAGGAAAGAAAUCCAAGUAAAUCAAAAGGAACAGAAACUAGAAAUAUACAGGCAUACUUGUGGCUGGAGUUAUUCCACUACUUGUACAUUAUGUGGCUUACCUCAACAUGUGGAAAAAUACAGUGCAAUGGUGCAUGCCUGUAAUCCCAACACUUUGGGAGGCCGAGGCAGGAGGAUCACUUGAGCCCAGCGUUUGAGAUCAACAUAGCAAAAUCCCGUUUCUACAGAAAAAAAAAAAUUUGCUGCAUGUGGUGGUACACAUCUGUGUUCCCAGCUACUCAGGAGGCUGAAGUGGGAGGAUCACUUGAGGCUGGAGGCAGAAGUUGCAAUGAGCUGAGAUCUAGCCACUGCACUCCAGCCUGGGUGACAGAUUGAAACCCUGUCUCAAAAUAAACAACAAAGAAAACUUCGUCUCCUGCAGGAAGCUAUCAUAAUCCUGACUGCAAGCCACCUAUUUGAAACUUAUUUGAGUUAGAUCUUACGUUAUAUUUAUUUGACCUUUUUCAUCUGUCCAGUUUUCUUCUUGAGUUUAUUCAGUUACCUAAAGAAACUGAAAAUUACUUGUAGAUAGAAAUCACAUUUCAUAAUUUGCUUAUAAUUCCCCUCAGGCCUUCUGCAUUUUAUGCAUAUUGAACAUUACACAAUUUAAUGAAUGGAUCAUUGGAAAAUCUCUCAUUAUGUACACGAUUAUAGAUGCAAUACAUUUUCAUAAGUUAUAUAAUUGUUUUAUUUAUUUUUACAAUUAAGGCUGAAGAUUGAGGUCUAUAUGCACUAAUCUAUUCUUGAUGCAAUGGUUUAUUAAAAUGCCCUUUUAAAUUAUAGUAAGUUUUUGCAUUGAAAUUGGUUUGUCCUUGCUUAACAGAUUCGAUCAUUAAGAACAGUAAAGAGUUUCUCUCACUGAAAUCAUUAAUACAUUUACUUAUACAGAGAUAGAUAGAUAGGUGCUGGCAUAUACUUACAAGCUUAUGAAUAACACAGUUAGUUGCUUCACAUUGACUCAUUUCAGAAAUGUCACUGUAAGUCACAAAAUAUUUUGUGAAAUGAUUGUAGUAUACUUUCGGCUACAACACUGAGUCUGUUAUACCUGAGAAGAAAUUAGACUCUGUGGGGGGAAAAAGACAGAAAAAUUUCCAAAAUCAAAUUUUUAACACCAGGGUUGCUGUGAGCCUUACCCCAGGGGGUGCCGUUUGUGGCAUGGUCUGUGGAGUUAAACAGUGUAGGCUAUGUGGUUUUAUAUGGCAGCCCUGCAGAAACCAGAGAGUAUACAAAAAGGUAUCAUAAAAUUUUGAACUUUAGUGCCACUGCUCAGUUAAGUAGUCUUCAAACUCUUAUGGAUAUUUAGUCAAUCUGUUGUAAUCCAUGAUGUUAGAAUGUACAAUGGUCCUUACCAAUCAUUUUAUUUGGUAGAAAAGAAAAAUAAGAUAUAUCAAUGAGAAGUAAAUUAUAUAUUUAAAAUACAUAUACAUAACAUAGAAUUAAGAAAUAAAGCACAAAAUAUAUGACAAGCCUCUAAAUAUUAAGUACUUUUCAUAGUCUAAAUUUCUACUACUAUACCGUAACUAAGGGAGGAGGCCACCCCUCAUAUUGUCUUAUGCCCAAUUUCUGCCUCCAAAGAAAAAAAAAAGUGAAAACUAAAAGGCAGAAAUGACACCCACAGGAAGACAGCCCGGCGCCACACCCUGGGCCUAGUAGUUAAAGACUGACCCCUGACCUAAUCGGUUAUGUUAUCUAUAGAUUACAGACAUUGUAUGGAAAAGCACUGUGAAUAUCCCUGUCCUGUUCCGUUCUAAUUACCAGUGCAGGUGCAUGCAGCCCCCAGUCACAUACCCUCUGCUUGCUCAAUUGAUCACGACCCUCUCACACAGACCCCCUUAGAGUUGUAAGCCCUUAAAAGCGUCAGGAAUUGCUCACUCAGGGAACUCGGUUUUUGGAGACAUGAGUCUGCUGAUGCUCCUGACUGAAUAAAGCCCUUUCCUUCUACAAUUCGGUGUCUGAGGGAUUCUUGUCUGUCACUCGUCCUGCCAUAUAACCAUUAAAAUUGUGUCUUGCUUAUACGAGGAUUACAUCUCAAAAUAGGAAAAUAUUUUGUAGUGAUAUUUCAGUCUCCAAAUAAGACCAUCAUUUAUGGAAGUUAAAAUUAACUACUUCUGCUAAAUUAAUACAGGUUUGAGCUUUCAUAUUAACUAUAUGUUCUGGGUUUUUUUAUGUAACAGUAUCUUUUAGA
rnacentral:lncRNA from 10 species